GGGAUUUGGAUCAGGACCCCUGCAACAUCCCCCACCUCCUUCUUUGACAUAUAAUAUAAAGUCAUUAAAAAUAAAUCAAUUAUUUACAUCAAAAGUCUAAAAAUAAUUUCUUUAUUUUUGUUGAAUCAUAUAAACCUCCUUUUGAUUAUUUAAGAUUAAAAUAAGAAAGAUUUCAAUUUAAAUGAAAUGAUAACACACAUCUGAAAACAAUCAUAGUAUAUACAUUAUGAGAUUUUCUCAUGUUUAAAGGCUUUCAUGUAGCAAAAAAAUGCCUAUAUAUCCACUCCAAAUGAGUAUUUUGGGAUAGUUGUCUCAUUGGCAAUUAUUCACAUCUGAUUAGUUUUCCAUUAGUAAAAUUCAAAUAAAAAGCAUUCAAUUCCAAUUUAAAUGUGAACCUUCUCAUUCUUGGAC
rnacentral:lncRNA from 1 species